GAGGCGCUUAAGAAUGAAAAGGAUGUGCUGGAAAAAGAGCAUGGAAACUUAAGACUGGAACAUGACACAAUGCAAAAUGAGAAGGAAGAAGUGGAAAAAGAGUAUGAAAACUUACGACUGGAACAUGACACAAUUAAGAAUGAGAAGAAUGAACUGAAAAAAGAUUAUGAAAGCUUAAGGCAGAAACAUGGUAAGGCC